CCGUGGUGCGCACGUAGUCACAGUCGGACAAUCGCAGCUCAGCCCGCAGCGACUCCAUGAAGCCCUCGAUUCCGUACUUGGUGGCCGUGUAGAUGCCCGCUCCUGGCAGCGGAACUAGACCUGAAUCAGGAAUAGAAGCACACGCUCACCAUUAUGUAGGAGCCCAAGUUGAGCUGCAGUAUGGUGUCGAUUUCAUCGCUCUUCAGGGUGGGUGUGGAAGUCAUGGGCAUGAGGGAGGCAUUGUUGACCAGAAUAUCCACGGGACCCAGUUCCUUCUCCACCUUGGCGGCCAUCAGUUGCAGUUCGCGCGGCGAUGACACGUCGUUCUGGAAUACAAAUUCUCCGUGGAAUCUUGGAGAGCAACUCCACUGUUUCGUAACAUCCCUUGGAGUUGACAUCCACGACGGCCAGCUUGCAGCCACGUCGGGCCAGUUCCAAGCAGAUCUCGCGACCCAGGCCACUGCCUCCGCCGGUCACCUGGGUUUAAAUCACAGGUUACUCACAUUGCACUCGUAUACUCAGCAGCAGCGGCAGAGGCGACUUAUGAAUGGCAUUACUCAUACGCUCGGUGGGCCGACCCUCUGGGGCACAAUUGAGUGACUUUUGACCGUAAUUGAAGCGCACUGGGUGACCUCAGCCGCCGUUUUGGGUGUGCGGUAGGUGGUUGCUUGAAUCGAAACCCGGAAUGUAACCCGGAAUGAGUUCAAUUCAGAGUUUGGCACGUUAGCCCAUAUGGCAAGGGGAAAAAAACAAUAACAAAUGCGCAGUUGUUGUGGUUAUGAAGCGGACGAAGAAUUUCAAUAUCAUAUGCAAAUUAACAGCGGCAACAGUAGUUGAGUUUUAUCUACGCAUCUGAGAGAUACCCGGCAUGCUUCCCAGUUGCAGAUACUUUGGCCCUCCGAAACUUCUACACUCUGUGGUUGUUUACAAACAACAGAGAGCGUUCGCUUGCCGGACUGAAAACAAAAGUGAACUUCCUGAGGUUUGCAUUUUUGCGCUCUUUCUGUUCAUCUUGGAAUAAAUAUAGCGACACACGCAAAACCAGUUUGGAGUCGAAAAGGGGAUCGUUUAGAGCUGAAAUAACUCGAAUUCCGCAACAAUGAUGUCAAUAGAACUUAUCAACGAAAGUCAAUCUUAUAAUUAAGUUGCUGCUAACAGUUUCCAUGGGAAUUCUCCAGUCCCUGCCACCCGAAAAUACCGCUGUGCAACCGCAACAAAAAAGGUAUCUGUAUUUUUAUCUGUAUCUGUGUAUGUAUCUGUAUCUGUAUCUGAGAAAACCAUAUCUGAGGGAACGAUCGAAAAAGCUGAGACUAAAACAAAAGUCGGGCCAUUGUGAAUCAUUAAUGCGCUACGUGAGACGCUUAUGGCCGGCACACGCCCACGAUAAAAAGCCUGAAAAGCAUGCUAAUGGGUUCUGAAUUCGAUCAGGUUCUUUACGAUAUGGAGCAUCACCAUCGGAUCCGAAUCAUCACUUGACCUUGUCCAGUGGCCCCUGGUAAUUGACUUUUCCAUAAUUCGACGCCCCAAGAUGCAUAUGUGAUUUUUGGAGCGCGAUAUGGUUGCCAUGAGCACGACUUCAGCUGGAGAUGGAGACUCACUUUGAUUGCAGCGCUUACAGCGAAAUUAUGUCACAUUAGCUGACCGUGGCACCAAAGUCUCGUCUCUGUGGACACAACUAAACAAUUGGCCAACUAACCAAGCUGGGUACCAAACGCAUAAAUAUUUACAUUAAUAACACCACACCAAGCGAUCGACCGCACCCUAAUGGCAGUGACAUCAAAAAAAAAACGAGAAGAAAUAAAAUGAAAAGAAAAGCGGGAAUGGGGAAAAGGUGGGUGUGGCGAGGGUGGGCGUGGAAACCGGAGGCAGCCACUGGAAAAGGAAAGUGCGUGACGUUUCUGGUUGGCUAAGUAGAUACAAGAUACAAGAUCGCUUAGAAGCGGAUACAGGGAACAGAGAUUCACAUGAUGCCAGCUUACAUACCAGAACCCUAAAUACAUCUUAUGGCAAUAUAAUCCACAUAUGCUACGAUUAACGUGAAAGCCUACUGCAUUUUCCAAGUGCACCCAAGUCCGAUGUGUAUCUGACUGCCUUAUUAAUGGCUCAUUUGCCAGGCGUUCAUUGCAGCCAUUUGUUAGCCCGAAUGAGCACUCGAUUG